rnacentral:rRNA from 1 species
CCUACGGGGAGUAGCAGUGGGGAAUCUUGCACAAUGGGCGAAAGCCUGAUGCAGUGACGCCGCGUGGGCGAAGAAGGCCUUUGGGCCGUAAAGCCCUGUCGGGAGGGAAGAAGGAAGCGACGGUACCUCACAAGGAAGCCCCGGCAAACUACGUGCCAGCAGCCGCAGUAAAACGGGGGGGGCGGGCGUUAUCCGGAAUCAGUGGGCGUAAAGGGUGCGUAGGCGGCCUUAUAAGCAGGGGGUCAAAGGCGGUGGCCAACCCACCGUUCGCCCGGCGAACUGGAGGGCUAGAGUGUCGGAGAGGGAGGCGGAAUUCCUAGUGUAGCGGUGAAAUGCGUAGAUAUUAGGAGGAACACCAGUGGCGAAGGCGGCUUCCUGGACGAAGACUGACGUUGAGGCACGAAGGCGUGGGGAGCGAACAGGAUUAGAUACCCGAGUAGUC